rnacentral:lncRNA from 1 species
GCCGAGGGCAAGUCCGACGUCGACGACAUCUUCGACCCGCCCUACUAUGAGUGGUUCCAGUUUGACAAGGUCCUCCACCCUCCACCUUCCCCCCUUCCUCCCGUAUUCCCAUUGCCUGAUCUCUACUAUGACUGGUCUGUUAUUCAAAUUUGACUGGGACUUGCAAGUUUUUGAUAGAUUUAACUUUUCUCACACACUUCAGGCGUGUAGUAACAAUUAAAUUGUAGGUUAAAUGUUGGGCUAGAGAAAUAUUGAUGAUAGUUUGAUUGGAAAAUUGUUAUAUGUCAGCUUCUGCAAUCCAUGGUACAACUACAAACCUGUGGGUAUUGUUUCUAAAAUAUGCAGUAUAGCACAUGAAUGUAUGGCAUACAAGUAGCAGACCUACAUAAUUUGAAUUGUUUUCGUGACUUCGUGGGUCAACUCUAGGCUGCGGUUUUAGGAUCUGGCAGUAGCCAGAUCUGUUUGUGCUUAUGCCCGAAGGUAAAAUCUGGCGAUUUGGGUGAGUAAACGGAAGUUUGCGAAGGAAUUAACCUUUUAAGCUUCCAAUGUCAAAUAUAGUUCAACCUUAUGCUGUCAACUCUGCAUAUGGAGUAGUAUUUGCUUGGAGAGCAGCAUUGCUUAGCAGAGUGUCUGUGUGUUUUGCUUGCUGGGUCAGAGUAGUAGGUGGAGUAUUUUGCUGGAUCAUAUCAUCAAUCAGUCAAUAAUAUCAUGUGUUCGUGUAUGUAUGUAACUAAGAUUCGAUUCCAACUCCUAAGAUAUUAUUACACGGAGGUAAGAACCUGGAUCAUAUGCAGUGUUAUAUUAUAGAAACUUGUCAAAGCCAUCAGGAUAUUACUGUUGUUUAUGGAUGAAUAGUGGCAGCAACGAAGCUUGACACAAACUCUUAUUUAAAGAUGAAUAGUGGCAGCAAGUGUGAAGAUUGUGCUAUCCUGCUUGGUACAUUUGUAUCCCUGCUUAUCUCAAGUCUGAACAUUCAAAUGCUAUUUGGUACUAGAAGUGAAAAUAGUACAUAUGUUUGGUUGCUUGGGUGACAUGUUAGUGUGUUUGUAUAAACGAUAGAUGAGAUAAAAAUAUGGCCAUGCUCAUGUUCUACCUUCAUGUGCACCAUUGCUAAUAUCCUGAUGACGCCCUACAAUUAAUUUGAAACGUGGAACUAUUCAUCUUUAAAUAGUUAAAUAAUGUGCACCUGAGCCACUAUUCAUUUUUUUGUAAAUUCUGGUAUUUAAAUACCUGCAGUGUUAGUUCACACUUUUUUUGUAAAUGUUGUUAUUUAAAUACCUGCAUUGUUAGUUCACAUCUUAUUCUUAUUUUUUGCACAGGUGAAGUACAAAGCCAAGUGUGAAGCUAUGAAGCGUAUCAACAAACAGUAGCAUAUGUAUUGUAAUAGUAGGCAGUAUUAGGUAUAUCUAGGUAGUGGUGUAGUGUAAAGAUUGUAAUAGACAAAUUUAAUGUUGGUUUGGACGAAUUUCAUUUGCUCCCUAGCCUGUUUGAAAUAUUGAUUCUGAAUGUGAUUUGAAUACCUAUGAAAUGGCAACUUGACAAGGGGACCAAGUUAUGAUAUUUAUUUGAC